GUCCCCUCGGGAUAUCCGAUAAAAUUGGAACGAUACAAAGUGAGUUAGCAUGCCCCCUGUGCAAGGAUGACACGACACGCACAAAUUUAAAAAUUCAACAUUUAA